GAUGAACGCUGGCGGCGUGCCUAAUACAUGCAAGUCGAGCGAACAGACGAGGAGCUUGCUCCUCUGACGUUAGCGGCGGACGGGUGAGUAAGACGUGGAUAACCUACCUAUAAGACUGGGAUAACUUCGGGAAACCGGAGCUAAUACCGGAUAAUAUAUUGAACCGCAUGGUUCAAUAGUGAAAGACGGUUUUGCUGUCACUUAUAGAUGGAUCCGCGCCGCAUUAGCUAGUUGGUAAGGUAACGGCUUACCAAGGCAACGAUGCGUAGCCGACCUGAGAGGGUGAUCGGCCACACUGGAACUGAGACACGGUCCAGACUACUACGGGAGGCAGCAGUAGGGAAUCUUCCGCAAUGGGCGAAAGCUUGACGGAGCAACGCCGCGUGAGUGAUGAAGGUCUUCGGAUCGUAAAACUCUGUUAUUAGGGAAGAACAAAUGUGUAAGUAACUAUGCACGUCUUGACGGUACCUAAUCAGAAAGCCACGGCUAGCUACGUG
rnacentral:rRNA from 1 species